UACGAAGGGUGCAAACGUUGCUCGGAAUUAUUGGGCGUAAAGCGCACGUAGGCGGUAUUGCAAGUCGGAUGUGAAAUCCCUCGGCUUAACCAAGGAAGUGCAUCCGAAACUGCUGUACUUGAGUACGAAAGAGGAUCGCGGAAUUCCCGGUGUAGAGGUGAAAUUCGCAGAUAUCGGGAGGAACACCAAUGGCGAAGGCAGCUCGCUGGGACGUGACUGACGCUGAGACGCGAAAGCGUGGGGAGCAAACAGG
rnacentral:rRNA from 1 species